rnacentral:rRNA from 1 species
UGUAGUCAUAUGCUUGUCUCAAAGAUUAAGCCAUGCAUGUCUAAGUAUAAGCAAUUACAAAGCGAAACUGCGAAUGGCUCAUUAUAUAAGUUAUCGUUUAUUUGAUAGUACCUUACUACAUGGAUAACCGUGGUAAUUCUAGAGCUAAUACAUGCUGAAAAUCCCGACUUCGGAAGGGAUGUAUUUAUUAGAUACAAAACCAAUGCCCUUCGGGGCUCUCUUGGUGAUUCAUGAUAACUUCUCGAAUCGCACGGCCCCGCGCCGGCGAUGGUUCAUUCAAAUUUCUUCCCUAUCAACUUUCGAUGCUACGGUAUUGUCCUAGCAUGGUUGCAACGGGUGACGGAGGGUUAGGGCUCGACCCCGGAGAAGGAGCCUGAGAAACGGCUACUACAUCCAAGGAAGGCAGCAGGCGCGCAAAUUACCCAAUCCCGAUACGGGGAGGUAGUGACGAUAAAUACCGAUACAGGGCUCUUUUGGGUCCUGUAAUUGGAAUGAGUACAAUUCAAAUCCCUUAACGAGGAACAAUUGGAGGGCAAGUCUGAAUCG